rnacentral:rRNA from 1 species
GGCCUUGACAUACUAAGAACUUUCCAGAGAUGGAUUGGGUGCCUUCGGGAACCUAGAUACAGGUGCUGCAUGGCUGUCGUCAGCUCGUGUCGUGAGAUGUUGGGUUAAGUCCCGNAACGAGCGCAACCCUUUUCCUUAUUUGCCAGCGGGUCAUGCCGGGAACUUUAAGGAUACUGCCAGUGACAAACUGGAGGAAGGCGGGGACGACGUCAAGUCAUCAUGGCCCUUACGGCCAGGGCUACACACGUGCUACAAUGGUCGGUACAAAGGGUUGCUACCUCGCGAGAGGAUGCUAAUCUCAAAAAGCCGAUCGUAGUCCGGAUCGCAGUCUGCAACUCGACUGCGUGAAGUCGGAAUCGCUAGUAAUCGCGGAUCAGAAUGCCGCGGUGAAUACGUUCCCGGGCCUUGUACACACCGCCCGUCACACCAUGGGAGUUUGUUGCACCAGAAGUAGGUAGUCUAACCGCAAGGAGGACGCUUACCACGGUGUGGCCGAUGACUGGGGUGAAGUCGUAACAAGGUAAGCGUAGAUGA